UAAUGCCGGAUGUUCCAGUUGAUCGCAUGGUCUUCUGGGAAAGCUUUCGCGGUAUGGGAUGGGGUCGCGUCCUAUCAGCUUGACGGCGGGGUAACGGCCCACCGUGGCUUCGACGGGUAGCCGGCCUGAGAGGGCGACCGGCCACAUUGGGACUGAGAUACGGCCCAGACUCCUACGGGAGGCAGCAGUGGGGAAUAUUGCACAAUGGGCGCAAGCCUGAUGCAGCGACGCCGCGUGAGGGAUGGAGGCCUUCGGGUUGUAAACCUCUUUUAUCGGGGAGCAAGCGUGAGUGAGUUUACCCGUUGAAUAAGCACCGGCUAACUACGUGCCAGCAGCCGCGGUAAUACGUAGGGUGCAAGCGUUAUCCGGAAUUAUUGGGCGUAAAGGGCUCGUAGGCGGUUCGUCGCGUCCGGUGUGAAAGUCCAUCGCUUAACGGUGGAUCCGCGCCGGGUACGGGCGGGCUUGAGUGCGGUAGGGGAGACUGGAAUUCCCGGUGUAACGGUGGAAUGUGUAGAUAUCGGAAAAAAACA
rnacentral:rRNA from 1 species